rnacentral:misc_RNA from 1 species
CUCUUUUAAAUAAAUAAAUAAAUAAAAAUAAAUUGUUGUAUAAGUCUAGUUUCGAAUGGUGGUGCCACCUCGUAAAAAGCCCACACACCUAUUAAUUUACAGAAACAAGAUCCGAAAAAGCAUGAUUAUACAUAGAAACAUCCACAAAUACGAAUACGUACCUGUGUAGAUUAAAUACGCGAAUUUGGAAAGGAGGUUCUAAAAUUAACGCAAAACGCUUUUGAUAAUUUUGUAAAAUUUACGUUUCAGAUUCUUACUGGUGAAGAUUGGAAUGUGGUUAUGUAUGACGGAAUACUUGCUUACGGAGGAAUAAAAACAUUUGGUGCAUUGGCAUGCAUCUAUUUUAUAAUUUUAUUCAUAUGCGGCAAUUAUAUUUUGUUGAACGUUUUCUUAGCUAUUGCUGUUGAUAAUCUUGCUGAUGCAGAUUCUUUAACAACAAUCGAAAAGGAAGAAGAAAUUGAUGAUGGUAAAAAUAACAAAUCACACAGCCCCACUCCAACUAUUGAAGGUGCAGAAGAGGAAAAUAUAAAUAUAGAAAUGGAUUUGGAUGGACAUUGUAUUGAAAUAGAAAAAUUGGAUGAGGAUCCUUCUGAAGGUGAAGAGGACGAAAUAUGCGAUGAGGAACUGGAAGAAUCCCGUUCCGAAGUAACACCUAGAGCAACUGCACGACCUCGACGUCUCUCUGAAAUCAGCAUUAAGAAGACUAAAAAACCAAUGCCAAGAGGAAGUUCAUUUUUUAUAUUUAGUAACACAAACAGGUUUCGUGUAUUUUGUCACUGGCUUUGUAAUCACAGCAACUUUGGAAAUGUUAUAUUGUGCUGUAUUAUGUUCUCAUCGGCAAUGUUGGCAGCAGAGGACCCACUACGCCCAAACGCCGACCGCAACAAGGUACUAAACAAAUUUGAUGUUUUUUUCACGGGUGUCUUCACAAUAGAACUGUUACUGAAAUUGAUUUCAUAUGGCUUCGUGUUGCACGACGGAGCCUUCUGUAGAUCUGCAUUUAAUCUUCUCGAUUUACUUGUAGUCUGCGUCUCCUUAAUAUCAAUGCAGUCCAGUUCGAAUGCGAUUUCAUUCGUGAAAAUAUUAAGAGUACUUCGCGUUUUAAGGCCUCUGCGUGCCAUUAAUCGUGCCAAAGGACUCAAGCAUGUAGUUCAAUGUGUAAUAGUGGCUGUCAAGACAAUCGGAAAUAUUGUCUUAGUGACUUGCCUUCUGCAAUUUAUGUUUGCCGUAAUAGGAGUCCAGUUGUUUAAGGGGAAAUUCAGUUUAUGUUCGGAUGGCUCAAAAAUGAGGAGAGAGGACUGUCAUGGCACCUACUUAUUUUAUGAAGAUGGAGAUGUACAUAAGCCGCGGUUAAAGGAGCGCGCAUGGGAUAAAAACAAAUUUCACUUCGAUGAUGUUGCCAAAGCGAUGCUCACCUUGUUCACUGUUUCAACUUUUGAAGGAUGGCCAGCGCUUUUAUAUGUAUCUAUUGAUUCUAAUGAAGUAGACGGUGGACCGAUACAUAAUUUCCGUCCCAUUGUUGCUGCUUAUUACAUAAUUUACAUAAUUGUAAUAGCCUUUUUUAUGGUAAACAUCUUUGUCGGUUUCGUUAUCGUAACUUUUCAAAACGAAGGUGAACAAGAAUAUAAAAACUGUGAUUUGGAUAAAAAUCAAAGAAAUUGCAUAGAAUUUGCGCUUAAAGCAAAACCAGUAAGGCGUUAUAUACCAAAACAUGGCAUACAAUAUAAAGUAUGGUGGUUUGUUACGUCAUCAUCAUUUGAAUACACCAUAUUUAUUUUAAUUAUGAUUAAUACUGUGACUCUUGCAAUGAAAUACCACAAUCAACCACCGUGGUACACUGAGCUCUUAGAUGCUCUAAAUAUGAUUUUUACUGCCGUGUUUGCGCUAGAAUUUGUGUUUAAGUUGGCGGCUUUUCGUUUCAAAAAUUACUUUGGAGAUGCUUGGAAUGUUUUUGAUUUCAUAAUAGUAUUGGGUAGUUUUAUUGACAUUGUUUAUUCCGAAAUAAAGAAUAAGGAUACUUCAUCUCUGCCUUGUGACAUCGUAGAGGGAUGCAAAGCGAAGGCCAAGACGGGAUCAAAUUUGAUAUCAAUAAACUUUUUCCGUUUAUUCCGCGUUAUGCGCUUGGUUAAAUUAUUGAGCAAAGGAGAAGGAAUUCGGACACUACUGUGGACAUUUAUCAAAUCUUUCCAAGCUCUUCCUUAUGUAGCUUUGUUAAUAAUUAUGUUGUUUUUUAUUUAUGCGGUUAUUGGAAUGCAGGUUUUCGGAAAAAUCAAUCUGAGUGACGAGACCGCCAUACACCGGAAUAAUAAUUUCCAAACAUUUCCACAGGCAGUACUAGUCCUUUUUCGUUCUGCAACGGGGGAAGGCUGGCAAGAAAUAAUGAUGUCUUGUUCGACAGACGAAGAUGUACGUUGCGAUCCGAAAUCCGAUAUGACCAAAGAUUGUGGGUCAAAUAUUGCAUUUCCUUACUUUAUAUCCUUCUACGUUCUUUGCUCGUUCCUUAUUAUCAAUUUGUUUGUUGCUGUUAUAAUGGAUAACUUUGAUUAUUUGACUCGCGAUUGGUCGAUUCUCGGACCCCAUCAUUUGGAUGAAUUCAUCCGCCUUUGGAGUGAAUACGAUCCAGAUGCUAAAGGGCGCAUAAAACAUUUAGACGUGGUUACGCUCUUACGGAAAAUUUCACCUCCGUUAGGAUUUGGUAAACUUUGUCCACAUCGAAUGGCAUGUAAAAGACUUGUUUCCAUGAAUAUGCCGCUAAACUCUGAUGGUACUGUUCUUUUCAAUGCAACCCUGUUUGCAGUUGUAAGAACAUCACUAAGCAUAAAAACUGAUGGAAAUAUUGACGAGGCUAAUGCGGAAUUAAGAGCAACAAUAAAACAAAUUUGGAAACGUACCAGUCCUAAACUCUUGGAUCAGGUGGUACCACCACCAGGAAAUGAUGACGAGGUUACCGUUGGAAAAUUCUAUGCCACAUAUUUGAUUCAGGAUUACUUCAGACGAUUUAAAAAACGAAAGGAACAAGAAGGUAAAGAAGGACAGUCUGAAAAUGCGACUCUAACACUACAAGCGGGAUUGCGAACAUUACAUGAAGUAUCACCAGCAUUGAAACGGGCGAUUUCCGGAAACUUAGACGAGCUAUCUGAGGAACCUGAGCCGAUGCAUAGGAGGCAUCAUACGCUGUUUGGGACAGUGUGGUCAUCGUUUCGACGACAUGGUAACAGCUUUAGGCAUGAUCGGAAAAAUAAAAAAUCGCAGUUAAAUGGAGAUAUUGGUGGUACCGAAUCAACGCCUACUGCUGCUGACUCGUCUAAUUUGAAUCCGAUGUACGACACCAACGGCUGCAAUGUAUCUGAUAGCAUAAAUCAUAUUACAAAAAGUCUGAUUCAAGCGAGAUUUGGUUCCGAACCGACUGAAUGCGGUGGCAGUAAUUCCAUUGAAUACCAUGACUUUAAUGCUCCUGGUAACUUUCGUACAUUUAGUGAGAGCAUAUCCUUGCGGCCACUUGUCAUGAAUAGGGACGAUGGUAAUAACUUGCUAACUCUUACUUCAGAGUACAUGACAAAUCAAGAAAGUCUAUUUGCUACAACAGAAUCUUAUGACAAAUGGUAUUCGUGGCCACGAUCGUGCGAUGCUAACAAAAAUAGGUAGCCCUUAUGAUCCCCAUCCUUCAGCAACUUUAUCUAAAGUCAACGGUCCUGCAGAAAGUCUCGUUGGCGGGGUACUAGUUGCAGAAGGUCUAGGAAAAUAUUGCGAUUCAGAAUUCGUUGGUCAAGCAACUCGUGAAAUGCAAGAGGCUUUAGAUAUGAC